rnacentral:rRNA from 1 species
UGCAGUCGNACGGAGGGCCCCUUGGGGUACUCGAGUGGCGAACGGGUGAGUAACACGUGGGUGAUCUGCCCUGCACUCUGGGAUAAGCCUGGGAAACUGGGUCUAAUACCGGAUAGGACCACACACUUCAUGGUGAGUGGUGCAAAGCUUUUGCGGUGUGGGAUGAGCCCGCGGCCUAUCAGCUUGUUGGUGGGGUAAUGGCCCACCAAGGCGACGACGGGUAGCCGGCCUGAGAGGGUGACCGGCCACACUGGGACUGAGAUACGGCCCAGACUCCUACGGGAGGCAGCAGUGGGGAAUAUUGCACAAUGGGCGCAAGCCUGAUGCAGCGACGCCGCGUGAGGGAUGACGGCCUUCGGGUUGUAAACCUCUUUCAGUAGGGACGAAGCGAAAGUGACGGUACCUACAGAAGAAGGACCGGCCAACUACGUGCCAGCAGCCGCGGUAAUACGUAGGGUCCGAGCGUUGUCCGGAAUUACUGGGCGUAAAGAGCUCGUAGGUGGUUUGUCGCGUUGUUCGUGAAAACUCACAGCUUAACUGUGGGCGUGCGGGCGAUACGGGCAGACUAGAGUACUGCAGGGGAGACUGGAAUUCCUGGUGUAGCGGUGGAAUGCGCAGAUAUCAGGAGGAACACCGGUGGCGAANGCGGGUCUCUGGGCAGUAACUGACGCUGANGAGCGAAAGCGUGGGUAGCGAACAGGAUUAGAUACCCUGGUAGUCCACGCCGUAAACGNUGGGUACUACUGUGGGUUUNCUNCCUNGGNAUCCGUGNCGUAGCUNACGCAUUAAGUACCCNGNCUGGGGAGUACGGUCGCAGACUAANCUCA